rnacentral:rRNA from 1 species
GGGAGCUUGCUCCCUGGUGGCGAGCGGCGGACGGGUGAGUAAUGCAUAGGAAUCUGCCCGGUAGUGGGGGAUAACGUGGGGAAACCCACGCUAAUACCGCAUACGUCCUACGGGAGAAAGCAGGGGAUCUUCGGACCUUGCGCUAUCGGAUGAGCCUAUGUCGGAUUAGCUAGUUGGUAAGGUAACGGCUUACCAAGGCAACGAUCCGUAGCUGGUCUGAGAGGAUGAUCAGCCACACUGGGACUGAGACACGGCCCAGACUCCUACGGGAGGCAGCAGUGGGGAAUAUUGGACAAUGGGCGAAAGCCUGAUCCAGCCAUGCCGCGUGUGUGAAGAAGGCUUUCGGGUUGUAAAGCACUUUCAGCGAGGAAGAAAGCCUCUGGGCCAAUACCCCAGAGGAAGGACAUCACUCGCAGAAGAAGCACCGGCUAACUCCGUGCCAGCAGCCGCGGUAAUACGGAGGGUGCGAGCGUUAAUCGGAAUUACUGGGCGUAAAGCGCGCGUAGGUGGCUUGGCACGCCGGUUGUGAAAGCCCCGGGCUCAACCUGGGAACUGCAUCCGGAACGGCCAGGCUAGAGUGCAGGAGAGGAAGGUAGAAUUCCCGGUGUAGCGGUGAAAUGCGUAGAGAUCGGGAGGAAUACCAGUGGCGAAGGCGGCCUUCUGGCCUGACACUGACACUGAGGUGCGAAAGCGUGGGUAGCAAACAGGAUUAGAUACCCUGGUAGUCCAC